UCCCUGGUGGACUAGUGGCUAGCAUGCGGUGCUCUCAUUGUGCGGUCAGGGUUCGAAUCCCGGUCAGGGAA